CGCCCUGGAGGUUGAUCUCAACAUUAGCCAACCAUUAACGUUUUGUGAGCUUGUAGGGACCCAGAAUUAACCAAUUUCAUCAGUCUGUGUUUCAUUAGCUUUUUAUAAAAACCAUAACAAGAACAUUAUUAACCCUCUAAAACACAGAGCAGCGGCAGUUUUCUUUCUUUUCUUGCAAUUUAGGGUGCUAACGUUAGCUAACUACUCUGCGUCCUGCUAGCUGACUUAACGGCUAAUUAGUAGCUUUUUGAUAGCUUAUUAGCAUGCUAAUUAGUUAGCCCAGAAACACCGGCUGUUUGAACCAUGUUUGAUUAACCCGGUGCUUCAGAGUUGAGCUUCAAUGCACUGAAAAUGAUUAAAAAAAAAAAUGAAGUUGAAGUUGUCACCUCAUCUGCAGCCUGCCUCUUGUCCUCCCACCAACAAUGACUGCAGCGCCAUCUUGUGAAAGAAUGAAGAAACUGCUGCCUACAGAACAGGUGCAUACUGAGCAGGUGGGCCCUUACGUAGGAGCCUCGAGUGUUUGGAGCUGGAGUAAACCAUACCUCACACUAUUUUAAGAGCUGAGAGAGAUGCCAGACAAAUGGAAAGAGAAACAACAGAAAACCUGUGUGGGGGAUCGGUGGCGAGACUUGGAAGGAGCAGCAGCGAGAGAGAGGAACAACCGAUGUGACAGAAAAGAGCAAGGGAUAUGAAGUGUCAAUGGACGACAACUGGGAAGAAGAGGAACAUCAUAAGACCACCUGAAGAAACACCUUCUCUCAUCUCUUCUACCAUGAGCUGCUGUGUUUCAUGUUGAAUAUUGAAAACAUGCAAAGUAUUUUUAAAUGAGGGACUCCUUAGUUAAAAAAAAAACAAAGAAAAGAAAAAGUUAUGAGGCAAAGAAAAGAGGGGUUGCCAAAGACCCAAAGUCAAUAUUUCCAAAGAAAAUUCUUCACAGUAUGGAUUGGAAUAAUCUUCUGUGCUCUUCUGUUAAUGUAUUUGUCACAUAAUUCAGUUCCUCUAAUUUGUACAUUAUAAAAAGAGCGCAAUAAUAAAUAUAUAUGUACGAUUAUGAUUUUUCUGUAUAGAGGAUCCCCGUCAGGAUGCUGUUGAUGGUGUAAGACUAGAAAUUCCUCAGUAUUGGAGGGGGUAUCUGGAUAUUGCUGGAGUUUCUUGAAGCAUCUGAGGUGGAUGCAACACCCAGGUCAGGCUGCCAGUGAUGUGGACACCACGGUACUUGAAGCUAUCAACCCUCUACACUGAGGACCUGCUGACAUUAAGGACCCUGCCUCUUCCAAAAGUCAACUAUCAGCUCCUGACUGUGCAAUAAAAUAUGUAUUUUA